rnacentral:rRNA from 1 species
CGAAAACGAAUUCUCUCUUGAGUGGAUCCUGAGUACGACGGAGCACGUGAAAUUCCGUCGGAAUCUGGGAGGACCAUCUCCUAAGGCUAAAUACUCUCUAGUGACCGAUAGUGAACCAGUACCGUGAGGGAAAGGUGAAAAGUACCCCGGAAGGGGAGUGAAAGAGAACUUGAAACCGUGUGCUUACAAGUAGUCAGAGCCCGUUAAUGGGUGAUGGCGUGCCUUUUGUAGAAUGAACCGGCGAGUUACGAUCUGAUGCAAGGUUAAGCAGAAAAUGUGGAGCCGUAGCGAAAGCGAGUCUGAAUAGGGCGAAUGAGUAUUUGGUCGUAGACCCGAAACCAGGUGAUCUACCCUUGGUCAGGUUGAAGUUCAGGUAACACUGAAUGGAGGACCGAACCGACUUACGUUGAAAAGUGAGCGGAUGAACUGAGGGUAGCGGAGAAAUUCCAAUCGAACUUGGAGAUAGCUGGUUCUCUCCGAAAUAGCUUUAGGGCUA